rnacentral:rRNA from 1 species
UCUAUUCUCACGUGAUGUUACGAAAGCAUGGGAGUAAACACGAUUAUGAUACCUUGGUCAUCCAUGCUGUAAAACGAUUUUUUUAGAUGUUGCCGCCUAUAGAGGCAAUAGUGGCGCAGCUAACCCGACACAUAGUGCGCCAGGGUGGGUUGCCGUUUCAUGACUUAAAACUCAAGAGGAAUUGACGGGGGGCUGACUCAAGCGGUUGAGCACGCGGUUUAAUUCAGUAAAUCCGGGGAAGACACUCACCUCGUCCGUACAUACCCGAAUGCUUGCACAGAGGGGACCGGGGCGUCGGGGGUGUGGACCACUCCCCCUUUUCCUGGGGGUUAAAUAUGAGAGUCUUUAGAUAUUGGGUAAAGUCCUUCAUCCAACGCAAGCCUUUCCCUUACGCGGCAGCGAGUGAUUAAGGUUCCGUUCAUUAUGCAUUCUUUCACAAACAAACUGGAGGAAGGCGGGGAGGCCGUCAAUUCAUCAUGGCCCUUACGGCCAGGGCUACACACGUGAUACAAUGGUCGGUACAAAGGGUUGCUACCUAGCGAUAGGAUGCUAAUCUCAAAAAGCCGAUCGUAGUCCGGAUUGGAGUCUGCAACUCGACUCCAUGAAGUCGGAAUCGCUAGUAAUCGCGGAUCAGAAUGCCGCGGUGAAUACGUUCCCGGGCCUUGUACACACCGCCCGUCACACCAUGGGAGUUUGUUGCACCAGAAGUAGGUAGUCUAACCGCAAGGAGGACGCGUUAUCCC